rnacentral:rRNA from 1 species
GAUGAACGCUGGCGGCGUGCCUAACACAUGCAAGUCGAACGGAGAUUACGGACGGAAGUUUUCGGAUGGAAGCCUGUAAUUCUUAGUGGCGGACGGGUGAGUAACGCGUGGGCAACCUGCCCUAUACAGGGGGAUAGCAGCUGGAAACGGCUGGUAAGACCGCAUAAGUCGGUUAAAUCGCAUGAUUUGAUCGGGAAAUGAGCAAUCAGGUAUAGGAUGGGCCCGCGUCCGAUUAGCCAGUUGGCAGGGUAAAAGCCUACCAAAGCGACGAUCGGUAGCCGGACUGAGAGGUCGGACGGCCACAUUGGGACUGAGACACGGCCCAAACUCCUACGGGAGGCAGCAGUGGGGGAUAUUGCACAAUGGAGGAAACUCUGAUGCAGCGACGCCGCGUGAGUGAAGAAGUAUUUCGGUAUGUAAAGCUCUAUCAGCAGGGAAGAUGAUGACGGUACCUGACUAGAAGCCCCGGCUAACUACGUG